AGUGGCGAACGGGUGAGUAAAGUAUCGGAACGUGCCCAGUCGUGGGGGAUAACGUAGCGAAAGUUACGCUAAUACCGCAUACGAUCUAUGGAUGAAAGCGGGGGAUCGCAAGACCUCGCGCGAUUGGAGCGGCCGAUAUCAGAUUAGGUAGUUGGUGGGGUAAAGGCUCACCAAGCCGACGAUCUGUAGCUGGUCUGAGAGGACGACCAGCCACACUGGGACUGAGACACGGCCCAGACUCCUACGGGAGGCAGCAGUGGGGAAUUUUGGACAAUGGGCGCAAGCCUGAUCCAGCCAUGCCGCGUGCAGGAUGAAGGCCUUCGGGUUGUAAACUGCUUUUGUACGGAACGAAAAGGUUUGGCCUAAUAAGCUGAGCUCAUGACGGUACCGUAAGAAUAAGCACCGGCUAACUACGUGCCAGCAGCCGCGGUAAUACGUAGGGUGCGAGCGUUAAUCGGAAUUACUGGGCGUAAAGCGUGCGCAGGCGGUUAUGUAAGACAGAUGUGAAAUCCCCGGGCUCAACCUGGGAACUGCAUUAGUGACUGCAUAGCUGGAGUACGGCAGAGGGGGGAUGGAAUUCCGCGUGUAGCAGUGAAAUGCGUAGAUAUGCGGAGGAACACCGAUGGCGAAGGCAAUCCCCUGGGCCUGUACUGACGCUCAUGCACGAAAGCGUGGGG
rnacentral:rRNA from 1 species